UGCAAAUUCAAAAUGUUCAAUAAUUCUCCUUGCAUGUCCAAGAAAUCACGGAAAAAGAUGACUGGCAAACACGUGAUAGUCCACGUUUCUCUUUUUAUUUGAUAAAUAUGUAUUAUGUAGCAUAAGUGUAAUAUUUUAUAAAUUUCUUUUUUUCAGAUUUAUAGGGAUUCAAAUUUGCUUUAAAAUCGGAGCCUUGAUAUUAUUUAUUGCCGUUUACUGUUUGUUACGCAUUAAAGACAAGAAAAAAAUGGAUGAACAUACCUCAACGAAAAGAUUGGAAGAACACACUUUGAAUGAAAAGUCCCCCAUCUGAGAAUUUUAAUUCAUAUAUUGACGGUGGAAAAAAACAAACAAAUUGGAAUUCAGAUGUAUGCUGUCAACACAGCUGGGUUUCUUUAAAUUUAAUGAUACUCAAGGCACAAACGCAAACUUGGAAAAAAAAAUGAAUUUCCACAUUACCCUACUUAAUUACCGAAUGUCAAGUCAACAAGUCAAAAUUUUGAUAAAGGGAUCAGCAAGGAGUGAUAUAUAACAUUCUGAAACUCGGAGGGAAUGGAAUAGUUCAUAGUUUAACCUGUUUGCCAAUUAUGUUCUCCCAAAUACUAUUCAAUAUUUAGAAAAUCCUUUCAUGAAGUUUAUGAGGAGUUAAGGAUUCAUUUUCUGGACUGCAAGACUGAUUAAAUAAUUUCACAAAUAUCUCUUAUAACCUUAAAAACAUGAUACCAUUAUCCACGUGUACUAAGAUUUAAAUAGACAACAAUACCAGUAAACAUUGCACUAUGAUGCAGUUUUUACAUAAAUGGCCGUUUAUGGGCUCUAACUGGUUUAUCUCAGCUGUAACAGGUUCAUCUCUUGCACAACAAUGGGAACCUACACCUACAUCCGUGAUAUAUGAGAAAAGCUGGAGUGAGUCUGCUAUUUUUCACUUUAUUUCAGCUCCCAUAGUCUGGCGAUGUGGGAAUAUAUUGGAAGUGUUAGUCACAAAAAAUACAGGCGCCCAUUCUUUUCUUCCAACGACCACACCGGACAUUCUGAAAACUUCUGGUGUCUUCAUGACUGCACUACGGGUCAACGAUGAAUAAUAUCAAUCCACUGGAAAGUCAUCUGUGAAUAUUGGCUUUAAUGGUUUACUUUCAAAAACUGAGUUUGGAUAUCACUUGACAUUUAAUAAUUAUUUGAGGCAGGGCCAGAUUAACAUAGGGGCUGAUGGAGCUGCAGCUCCAGGCCCAGGCCCAGGCCCAUGGAAUAGACCCAUUGAUUUAAAAAAAAAAAAAAAUAUAUAUAUAUAUAUAUAUAUAUUUAAAAAAAAAAAUUUCACACACUACUCUUGGGGAUUCCACCUAGCUUUUAUUUUAUUGGCACAGCCAGUAUUUGAGGCUGCCUGGCUGGUGCCAAUAUUGCAGUGAUAUUGGCAAUUCAAAUGCUGGUAUUUUUCUCAGUAUAAACAAGAGAUUACUAUGCAAUACCAGCACUGGCCAGUAGGGGUGUGUGGAGACAGGCAGGGAUAGGAAGUUCCAGCAUAUCCCUCCCUGCCUAUCUAUACUCACUGAUCUGCAGGGGUGCAGCUACAGAGAGUCCAGACAGCAACGCCCACCCUGCAGAAAGAGCCUGCAGCUCAGGGAAGUAAGGGAUGGGGGAAAGGCUGCAAGGAGACAUACACUGAGACAAUAAGGGACACUGGGAGAUAUUAUGGCAGACACUGAGACACUAAGGGACAUUGGGAGACAUUAUGACACAGACACAUGGGGACACAAUGUCCCCAUGUCUCCCAGUGUCCCCAUGUCUCCCAGCCAGUGUCCCUGGUGUCUCAGUGCCCCCUAUUCUCCCAGUGUCUCACUGUCCCCAUGUCUCCUCGUGCCUCCAUGUCUCCCAGUGCCUCAAGUGUCUCAAUGUCCCCAUGUCUCCAAGCUAGUGUCCCUAGUGUCUGUGGCCGUGGAGUCUCAGUGUCCCCAUGUCUCCCAGUGCCCCCAUGUCUCAAUGUCCCCAUGUCCCCCAGCCAGUGUCUCUAGUGUCUGUGUCCCCAUGUCUUCAAGUGUCCCCUAUUUUCCCAGUGUCCCCAUGUGUGCCAGCCAGUGUCCCCUAGUUUCCCAGUGUCAUUGGUGUCUCUGUGUCCCUAGGUCUCCCCGUGUCCCCAGGUCUCCCCGUCUUCCUAGUGUCCUAGUGACACAUACAUGGGGACAUAGACACAUGGGAAUAUUAGAGGACACAGGGAGACAUGGGGCAUUGAGACACUGUGAUACAUAGGAACGCUGAGACCUGGAGUAAUCGACACAUGUGGGCACUGGGAAACAUGGGGGCACUGGGAGGAAUCCAUCUAUACAGCAUAAUCAAACUAAGUAGUUUUUGGGUGAUUUUACAGCAUUUCUCUUAUGUCACUACUUGUGAUUUACAUCAUGUAAUGUCACACAUACAUAUUUAAUUAUUCAAAUUAGUAAGGCCGGUAUGUUUUUCCAAGAAAGGUGGCAACCCUAACUACUUUUCACAUACUCUUACUUAAGUAUGGAAACUUAAAUGGGAUGUAUGGGAACAAAACUUGUGUGGACUGGCUGACAAUGAAUAUAGUUAAAGGGACACUAUAGUCACAAGAACAACUACAGCUUAUUGAAUUUGUUCUGGUUAGUAGAAUCAUUACUUUCAGGCUUUUUGCUAGAAACACUGUCUUUUCAGAGAAAAUGCAGUGUUUGCAUUACAGCCUAGUGAUAACUUCACUGGCCACUCCUUAGAUGGCUGUUAGAGAUCCUUCCUGGGUCAUGGCUGCCUAAAAUGCAUCCAAACAUUCAGUAUCUCCUCCCUCUGCAUGCAGACACUGAACUUUCCUCAUAGAGAUUCAUUUAUUCAAUUUAUUCAUAGCUGCUGUUUUCUUUCUCUCCAGCACCAUCUCCAUCAGAUACAUGACGCUUGGGAGUGUUUUACUGUUUUUGGUCGAUAUGAUUCUUUAAUUAGGCCCGUCAUAAUUGUCAGCACCAGGCCUACUGUGCUGUUAAUCUGGCCCUGAUUUGAGGACAUAUUUUGGCAGACACCUGUUAUUUGUUUUUGGAGUCUAGAAAAGUCGCACUGCCUGAAAUGUUCUAGCAUUAAAUGCAAUAGUUUUUAGAACUUUUACGUUAAAGCAGCUCUGUUAACAGUCUGGCUCUGUUUAAAGUUUUGCUUUAAAUUAUUUUCUUGUCCUGUAUCCUCUUUGUUUUUUUUUGUUUUUUUUUAAAUUCAUGGGCUACUCUUUCUUAUGGGCAAUGCGAAAUGUUGGCAGUGGGCUUAUCGAAAACAAAUUUCCAAAUUAGUUGCUAAAUUAGUUUACCCACAAUUCAUCAGUCAAAAUAAUCACACAUAACAAAAUUGCUCGCAGGUGUUCAGAUCCAGUGCGAGGAGGAAAAUAAAAUGAAUAUAAAUAAAAAUGGCAAAGAGUCGAGUAUAAUCAUGAAAAUACAAUGGGCAUACGGAAUGGGAAAUCAUAUAUUUUUUUUAUUAUUAAUUUUUCAUGUUCACAAUUCACAUAUAAUGACAAGGGAUCAUUUUUACAAUGACAUCGAGACCGAGACACUUUAAUCACAUCUAGUUAAAGUAAAAAUGUACAAUAAAUACCUUUAGAAUGACAGCUGGACAAAUACUUCCAAGAAAAGGCUUCAGGCACUCACUGUGUUCAAAGGUAAGGCAGGUUUAUUGGACCAUCACGUACACAGCUGACAGAAUGGUGACUAACAGGUUUAUUCUCUAAAAUGAGAAUUGUUGAGAAAUUAAAGUAAUUUUUAAUUUUAAGGCCAAAAUAGCCAAACCGGAAAAAAAGUUCUAGUAAGCUAUGCUUCCAGUUCGUCUACUUUCGCCUUAAAUAUUAAAUUCUCCUUAAAUUCACUUUUACUUCCCUUAGAGACCCUUGCCAGUUUGGCUUUAUUGACUGGUGGAACAGUCUGCCUAACGCCAUCAGACUCUCCUCUAGUCUUGAAUCGUUUAAGUCAUGCCUUAAAACCCAUCUCUUUAGGAAAGCUUAUGGCCUCCCAGAGCAACCUCUACCUCACGUACCUGUCUCUUGCUCUCUCCUAUAGGGCAGUGCUUUACUCUCUCCUCCAGCUCUGCUUCACUCCACCUUGUUUGAUUGCUACCUCCUGUCCUUAUGUGUUUUACAUCCCACCUCCUAUAGACUGUAAGCUCCUUUGAGCAGGGUCCUCUUCAAUCUAUCGUUCCUGUAAGUUUUCUUGUAAUUGUCCAAUUUAUAGCUAAAUCCCCCCUCUUAUUAUAUUGUAAAGUGCUACGGAAUCUGUUGGCGCUAUAUAAAUGACAAUAAUAAUAAUAAUAAUAAAAAAUGGAUUCUAUAGUUCCUGAAAAACAAAGCCGUUUUCCGGAGAGGGAGACCUAAUGCGCAUUCGCGACAAGUGUCAUGCUCGCAUUAGGAUUCCCUAUGGGGAUUUGCUUUCCUAUGGGGAUUUGAUUGACGCUGGAUGUCCUCAUGCCCUUACUGUUGCUUUUAAAUACCAUAUGUAUCAUCUAUUUAAUUUGCAAAAAUACUUAAAAUCAGUUUGCAAGAUAUUAUUUAAUGAUCUAGCUACACUGGAACAGUGCAAUGAUAAAAUAAUCUUUUGAACCAGAAUGUGAAGAGUAAAAUAAUAUUAUACUACUUUAUACUAUACAUUUUCUACUACUGAAACCAAAAUUUAUAACAAAAUAAAAGCGAGUUUAUUCAUCUAUCAUUGCUUAUGCUUUGCUAUGUUUCUGCUGUUUGAUGUUCUACACAUGGUGGAUGCAAUAUAUUUUAGAUAAUAAUCUGUUUUGCUCCAUAAACCCAACCUGUCCUUCCAUCACCGCCUGUUCUCAAGAAUUCUAUUUUUACUGUAAAAAUGGUGCUGUACAUGUUGUCAUGCCUUAGAUUGGUGGGCGUUGUAGUUCAGCUGGGAGCUUCGUACAGCAGAAAGCUGACAACAAAUUCAACUUCCAGAAACUGUAAAAGCUGACUAGAACGCACUGCUGAUAGGAUAAAUCAGAAGUGCUAUAGAAAGCUGUGUGAUUCAUCAAUCACAUGUCUACUUUUAACCAUUUCAAAUUAAAGGGGCACUAUAUGAGAUGAAGUGUUCUUGGUGCAUGUUCGAAAAUCUACUUGCUUCCCCCAUGAUUCCGCUAUGUAACUAUGUUUCCUGCAACUGUCUUAGCUUGGACAGAAGAAUCUAUAUUUACUUUAUAUGGGAUUCAUAUUGAGAAUAUAGUCAAGGUUUCCGCACAUUAGUCCACAUUGAAUUCAGUAUGGAUCUGUUUAGAGACUUUAUUCUAAAAGAUGUCUUUUAAAAUAGACUUCAUUGAAAAUUGAAGCUGAUUUGCAUUGUAUCCCCUUACUGUUGCUUUUAAAUACCAUAUGUACUAG